AUUGAACGCUGGCGGCAUGCCUUACACAUGCAAGUCGAACGGCAGCACGGGCUUCGGCCUGGUGGCGAGUGGCGAACGGGUGAGUAAUACAUCGGAACGUGCCUAGUAGUGGGGGAUAACGCAGCGAAAGCUGUGCUAAUACCGCAUAAGAUCUAAGGAUGAAAGCGGGGGAUCGCAAGACCUCGUGCUAUUAGAGCGGCCGAUGGCAGAUUAGGUAGUUGGUGGGGUAAAGGCUUACCAAGCCUGCGAUCUGUAGCUGGUCUGAGAGGACGACCAGCCACACUGGGACUGAGACACGGCCCAGACUCCUACGGGAGGCAGCAGUGGGGAAUUUUGGACAAUGGGCGAAAGCCUGAUCCAGCAAUGCCGCGUGCAGGAUGAAGGCCCUCGGGUUGUAAACUGCUUUUGUACGGAACGAAAAGGCUCUUUCUAAUACAAGGGGCUCAUGACGGUACCGUAAGAAUAAGCACCGGCUAACUACGUGCCAGCCGCCGCGGUAAGAC
rnacentral:rRNA from 1 species